GCGUAAGCAAAAGGAAGGCGUAGGACCAAAGGUCACCUUGGGGAGACUACAGUCGGCGCAAGGCUGAUGGCUAGUGACAGCUGUGUUGGACUCUUGGAGAUUAAGUAUGGAGAACCGUCUGUUGGGCUCUCACCCAACAGCUGACAGGAAUCAAGAAUUUACUAUGUUUAGUAAAGCUGUGGUCGUUGCCCUUAUCCACUUUAAAUGG